rnacentral:rRNA from 1 species
UUAUAUUUUAUAAAAAUAAUUUAUUUAUUUUUUGUUUUAGUAUUUAUUAAGAAAAAAUUUUUAAAUUUAUAGUUUAAUAGUAUUGUAAAAGAAUUAAUUUAAAUUUAAUUAAGAAUUAUUUUAUUAGUACCUUUUGUAUCAGGGUUGAUUAAAAUAUUAAAUUUAUUUUUAAUUCUCAAAAUUUAUAGAGUUAAUUUUAUUAUUAAUUUACUGUUUUAUAAGUAUUUAUAAAAUAAUAUUAGUUUUGAAAUUUAAUUCGUUAUAAUAUAUUUAGUUAUUUAAGAUUUAAAUUUAAUUUAAAAUUUUAAAAGUUUAUAUUAAUUUAAUUAAUUAAAAUUUUAAAUUUAAAUUAUUUUAGGGAUAAGCUUGGAAUUUUUAUAUAAUUAAUUUUUUAAUUAAAUAAUUUAUAGGAAUAGAAAUUUUUAUUUAAGUUUGUAAAAAUUUAUUAUUUUAAAAAAUUUAAUUUAUUAAUUUAAUUUAUUUUUGAUAUUAAAUUUUAUAAAUAAAUAAUUUAUUUAUAGUAAUAAUGAUUAAAUUAGUAUAAUAAAAAUUUAUAAAUUAUGAAUUCGGCAAUAAUUAUUUUCAUCUGUUUAUCAAAAACAUUGUAUUAAGUUUAAUUUAAUAUAUAAUCUGCUCAAUGAAAUUUUAAAUAGCUGCAGUAUUUUGACUGUGCAAAGGUAGCAUAAUAAUUAGUCUUUUAAUUGAGGACUAGAAUGAAAGAUUUGAUGAGAAAUAAACUUUAUUAUUUAUAAAAUUAAAAUUUUAUUUUUAAGUAAAAAAGCUUAAAUAAUUUAAAGGGACGAUAAGACCCUAUAAAACUUUAUAAUUAUUUAAAUUUGAUUUUUUUUGUUUAUAAGUAUUUAAAUUUUAAUAAUUAUUUUAUUGGGGUGAUAAAAAAAAAUUGAACUUUUUUUAAAAUUUGACAUUAAUUAAUGAUUAAUUGAAUUAAAAUUUUUAAUUAAAGGAAAAAGUUACUUUAGGGAUAACAGCGUAAUUAAUUAUUUAAGUCCAAAUUUAAUAAUUAGUUUGCGACCUCGAUGUUGAAUUAAGAUUAAUCUUAGGUGCAAAAUUUUAAGUUUUAGGUCUGUUCGACCUUUAAAAUCUUACAUGAUUUGAGUUCAAACC